AUUCUUUGUAGUUUAUAAACAUGAUGAUUGGGUUUUCACACAGAUAUGCCUCCCUCAAACCUUGGCACAUUACUCAUCUGACA
ensembl:snoRNA